rnacentral:rRNA from 1 species
GACGAACGCUGGCGGCGCGCUUAACACAUGCAAGUCGAACGGAAAGGCCUGCUUUCCCUUGUGGAUUGCGGGUACUCGAGUGGCGAACGGGUGAGUAACACGUGAGUGAUCUGCCCCCAACUUGGGUAUAAGCCUGGGAAACUGGGUCUAAUUCCCGAUAGGACUGCAGGGUGGUGCCUGUGGUGGAAAACGAUUUUCUAGUGGUUGGGGAUGAGCUCGCGGCCUAUCAGCUUGUUGGUGGGGUAAUGGCCUACCAAGGCGGCGACGGGUAGCCGGCCUGGGGGGGUGGACGGCCACAGUGGGACUGAGAUACGGCCCAGACUCCUACGGGAGGCAGCAGUGGGGAAUAUUGCACAAUGGGCGGAAGCCUGAUGCAGCGACGCCGCGUGGGGGAUGACGGCCUUCGGGUUGUAAACUCCUUUCGACCGCGAGGAAGCCACCUGGUUGGAAGGGUGGUGACGGUAGUGGUAGAAGAAGCACCGGCUAACUACGUG